AUGUACCCACGUACAUUCCGGUUCCUCCGCGCCGUCCGCACCCACCUGACGACUGCUCGCUACGUUUUGUUAACC
rnacentral:sRNA from 2 species